rnacentral:rRNA from 1 species
CGUCAAAUCAUCAUGCCCCUUAUGACCUGGGCUACACGCGUGCUACAAUGGCUAGUACAAAGAGUUGCAAUACCGUGAGGUGGAGCUAAUCUCAUAAAGCUAGUCUCAGUUCGGAUUGUAGUCUGCAACUCGACUACAUGAAGUUGGAAUCGCUAGUAAUCGCGAAUCAGAAUGUCGCGGUGAAUACGUUCUCGAGUCUU